rnacentral:lncRNA from 1 species
GGCGCCCGCAGCAUCGGUGGUGGGAUCAUCGGACGGGAUCGAUUUGAAACGCCGUGACGAUCGAGCAGCUAGUGCCGUGCCGGCCGCCGAGUAGGACGUACGACGUAGGGGUUGGUACGACGGAGAUGCAUGCAUCCAGCCGGGCUUCCAUAGCAGUAGGUAGGUGCCCGCCGUUCGUGUGCUUCCUCGGAUCCUCCACUCUCUGUCCACGUCACGUCGCGUCGUCACCUUUCAGCGAUCAAAAUAACGACGCCGCGGCCUUCCACUCAGUGCAGUGCAUUGUAGUACUCUGUGUCGCCGGCCGCACUUGGAUCGAUACGAUCGUGUCGGGGCGCGCAUUGGGGGUCGUAAGCGAGUUUCGAUUCCAGGAAGGCCAUCCAUAUGAUCGACUGGGGUGGGCGUGGGCCGUUGCCACUCUUUCGGUCAUCACCGAUAGAUUAUAGUUUUUUUUUUUUUGCGUUGUAUGAACAGCUGGCCUCCCCAACACAUCCCAUCGAACACUAGUACUCCGUAUAGUAGGAGUAGAUUGUAGAUACACUAGUGUAAUUCACACGAACAACAACAACCACCGCCUAUGGUUUCUGGGAGAACUGAACACGGUGUGUGUGUGUGCCUGUGUUCAGAUGUGGCCCAUCGGAUCUUGCGUUUUCCUUUUUGCCCGGCAAAUACUAAGGGCACUCACAAUGCAAGAUUACAUAGUCCAAGACAAUUAAUUACAUAUUAUUUAUAGUAUUUUGCUGAUGUGGCAGCAAAGAUGUAGAAAAAAUAAGACUCUAAAUCUUAUUUAAACUCUCUAACACAUUAUUCGAGGUAAUAAAUAACUUUAGACUCUAUAAUAGAGUCUGCAUUGUGAGUGCCCUAAAACGGAUAGCUAGGUAGUGAAUAAUCUGGUGUCUUUUUGGUUCAUGUAUUGAUGUUGCUUACUUACCUCCACAUAUAUAUUAUUCUAUGGCCACAUUGAGUUACGUUAAUUAUUAUGGUAAUUUACGAGAUCUCCUUACUAAGUGGUCUAUUAUAAUAUUACGGUUAAUAUCUUCAUGUGUUAAAGUAACCUAACUAUCGUAAAUAUGUAUACAUAUUAUUGUAAAUUAGUAUAUAAAAUUAUCAUAAAUAGAUGUGACUAUAAAAUAACUUAUUUUUUAGCUGGCUAUACCCUCCCUAUAUAUAUGCUGAUGACUGGCAAUGAUGGUAGCUAACUGUCAGGCUGUCAGGCUGUCUUCAUGAACAAUGCAUGACAUACGACGAUACUGCAGAUUUUGUUUGGAUUAAUAAACUGCACUUAUUGACUUCAGAUUUGCUAUACAAAUUUGCUUCUAGGCUGUUCGGGCCUUGUUUAGUUCCAAAAAUUUUUGGGAAAUCGACACUGUAGCACUUUCGUUUGUAUUUGACAAAUAUUAUCUAAUCAUGGACUAACUAGGCUUAAAAAUUCGUCUCGUCAGUUUCGACCAAACUGUGCAAUUA